GACGAAGGUGGCGAGCGUUGUUCGGAAUCAUUGGGCGUAAAGCGCACGUAGGCGGUUCGUUAUGUCGGAUGUGAAAGCCCUUGGCUUAACCGAGGAAGUGCAUCCGAAACUGGCGAGCUAGAGUACGAAAGAGGAUCGCGGAAUUCCCGGUGUAGAGGUGAAAUUCGUAGAUAUCGGGAGGAACACCGGUGGCGAAGGCGGCGAUCUGGGUCGAUACUGACGCUGAGGUGCGAAAGCGUGGGGAGCAAACAGG
rnacentral:rRNA from 1 species